AGAAAGGCUCGGGGUUAAUUACAAACAACGUGCCUCAGUGUGUGUAUCAUGCAGUGACAGUCCUAGAGAGUCUACACAAAUUUAGAGUGAUAAAGACAAACUUGAAUGACGCUCAUGAUGAUUAAUGUGUUUGGCUUUCUAUGACUCACUUGGUUUAGUUCAGCUUUGACAGGAUCCACAGUGCUCCUUAAUUUGGUGCGAUUUCUUUCUUACUUCGGAAUGUGCAGGAUACUCGUGUCGAUUAAGUUGUAUACGUUGCGUCCAAUCUUUACUUUCAGUAGUGUCACUUUCUGGGGAGAUCCUUCACAACAAGCCAUGGUGAGUGGUGUGAUCCUU
rnacentral:lncRNA from 1 species